UACGAAGGGGGCUAGCGUUGCUCGGAAUUACUGGGCGUAAAGGGCGCGCAGGCGGCCCUUCAAGUCAGGCGUGAAAGCCCCGGGCUCAACCCGGGAAUGGCGCUUGAGACUGAGGGGCUUGAGUUCGGGAGAGGAGAGUGGAAUUCCGAGUGUGAGAGGUGAAAAUUCGUAGAUAUUCGGAAGAAACACCAGUGGCGAAGGCGACUCGCUGGACAAGUAUUGACGCUGAGGUGGCGAAAGCGUGGGGAGCAAACAGGAUUAGAUACCCGUAGGUAG
rnacentral:rRNA from 1 species